CAGUCGCCACGGUAAUACGUAGGUGGCAAGCGUUGUCCGGAAUUAUUGGGCGUAAGGGCUCGCAGGCGGUUUCUUAAGUCUGAUGUGAAAGCCCCCGGCUCAACCGGGGAGGGUCAUUGGAAACUGGGAAACUUGAGUGCAGAAGAGGUGAGUGGAAUUCCACGUGUAGCGGUGAAAUGCGUAGAGAUGUGGAGGAACACCAGUGGCGAAGGCGACUCUCUGGUCUGUAACUGACGCUGAGGAGCGGAAGCGUGGGGAGCGAACAGGAUUAGAUACCCCCGUAGUCCCUGUCUCUUAUACA
rnacentral:rRNA from 1 species